CCAAACUCUCAGGGAGACUGGAUAUUUUCUGAGGUAAGGACGCAAUAGUUCUAAAACCAGGUGUCUCGAGAUCAUUUGACUGAGCUUUAGCAUCAAGAGGUGACAUUAAAACCAGUUCUAUACUAUUUUCAUUCAUAGCAGAUUCUUCGGCGACAGGUAUCACUUGCUCUUUUUUAAGAGGAAAUUCAGAAGUAGGUGUUUCUAAUUGCCUGCAAAUCUCUUUAUUGACCAUUUCUGAAACAGCAAGAGCAUUUUUAGUUUCAAGAGAAGAAACAGUUAUUGCGUCGGAUUUGUUUUUCAUGGGAAUAUCAGAAUCUCCAUUUUCAUCUGCCAAUGAUUUUUCAACAAUAUCAGCUGCAACAAGAAUAUUUUUAACCUCGACAUUAUCGCUGUGUUUUCCUUUCUUUUUCUUCUUACGACGUUUACUUCUGUCAUUAUUGGCUAAAGGAGCAGUGGAUACAUCAUCCUCAGAAGGAAUUACAAGAUCAACGUCUUCUUGAAAAUCAAUGGUACCCAAACUCUCAGGGAGACUGGAUAUUUUCUGAGGUAAGGACGCAAUAGUUCUAAAACCAGGUGUCUCGAGAUCAUUUGACUGAGCUUUAGCAUCAAGAGGUGACGUCAAAACCAGUUCUAUACUAUUUUCAUUCAUAGCAGAUUCUUCGGCGACAGGUAUCACUUGCUCUUUUUCAAGAGGAAAUUCAGAAGUAGGUGUUUCUAAUAGCCUGCAAAUCUCUUUAUUGACCUUUUCUGAAACAGCAAGAGCAUUUUUAGUUUCAAGAGAAAAAACAGUUAUUGUGUCGGAUUUGUUUUUCAUGGGAAUAUCAGAAUCUCCAUUUUCAUCUGCCAAUGAUUUUUCAACAUUAUCAGCUGCAACAAGAAUAUUUUUAACCUCGACAUUAUCGCUGUGUUUUCCUUUCUUUUUCUUCUUACGACGUUUACUUCUGUCAUUAUUGACUAAAGGAGCGGUGGAUACAUCAUCCUCAGAAGGAAUUACAAGAUCAACGUCUUCUUGAAAACCAAUGGUACCCAAACUCUCAGGGAGACUGGAUAUUUUCUGAGGUAAGGACGCAAUAGUUCUAAAACCAGGUGUCUCGAGAUCAUUUGACUGAGCUUUAGCAUCAAGAGGUGACGUCAAAACCAGUUUUAUACUAUUUUCAUUCAUAGCAGAUUCUUCGGCGACAGGUAUCACUUGCUCUUUCUCAAGAGGAAAUUCAGAAGUAGGUGUUUCUAAUUGCCUGCAAAUCUCUUUAUUGACCUUUUCUGAAAUAGCAAGAGCAUUUUUAGUUUCAAGAGAAGAAACAGUUAUUGUGUCGGAUUUGUUUUUAAUGGGAAUAUCAGAAUCUC
rnacentral:lncRNA from 1 species